GUGCUUGCUUCGGCAGCACAUAUACUAAAAUUGGAACGAUAUAGAGAAGAUUAGCAUGGCCCCUGCUCAAGGAUGACAUGCAAAUUCGUGAAGCGUUCCCUAUUUUU
rnacentral:snRNA from 1 species